AUUUGGAGUCCCAGCAGCAACCCCAAAGCUCCCAGAGGGGUUUUGCAAGGAUUAGAGCAGGAGAAGCUGUCACCCUCAAGGAGCUGUGGCAGCAGAGGCAGGGCCUGGCCUGCUGCAUCCCUCAGCCCCUGCCCAGGGCUGCUCCCUGGGUCUUCUGCUCCUUUCCCACUGCAGGGAUGUGGGGCUGGAGACACGGGAAACUGCACUGGAUCAAAUCUGGUGCGAACUCAAGGAAAGAAAUGAGUCAGGGCACUGAAGGCACCGCAGCAUUGGCUAAAAGUCCUGUCCUGGUCAGGGAGAGCAGAUCCUCCCUGGCUCAUAACUCUGAAGGGAUGCAGGAGGGCAUCCAGUGUUUUAGGCUUGUUGGGAGUUUGAGGCUUGUCCUUCUGGACAGAACCACAAUUUUUCUUCCUGCAAGCUAAGCAAGAGUUCCCUGAGCUGAGUGUGGAUCUGGAGAGGAGGGAACGACUUGGAAAUGAAAGAUGCUGGGAAUUAAAUGUGAUCUAAAGUCGCUGUCACAUUAAAAUGCAAUUUUAGGUCUGGUA